ACUCAGUUUCAAAAUAAUUUCUUCAGAUUUCUGUUUCUUACUUCGUCAAAUUGAUUUCGAGCUUACCCGGGAUGACAAUGAAAAUGGCGCGCUAUGAAGAACUUAGGAUUGCAUUGGGCAAUUUGUCAGCAAUGUUGGAAUCGGUCGAGAUUGAUUCGGGAGACGAUGUUGAUGAUGAAGUGGAGCUUCAAGCUUCUAUACACCAUGCGCCAAGUCUUCCACUAACGUCGUAUGCCCGCGGAGAAGGGCUGGGAAAUACGGUACGUUCUUGAAAUUUUAUUAAUUAUCAUGCUUCAUUUAAAAUUUCUAGUCUCCAUAUAUGAUGUUCCAUAAAAUCAAUCAAAUAAAAACAGACAAAAAAUAUACGAUGAUGGAUUAGUGAAGAAUGCUUCGUUAGUGAAUAAGAAGCCUGUCUAAAUCAUCUGCAGAGUUCAUUUAGUAAUUUACAACACACUCAACUCUUUUUUUUAUGAAAUUUCUUAAUAGUAAUUGUUCUAACAUGGAAACACUUAUCUGCUCUUUGGAAAUGGCAUUAAUGACGGGCUAGAAAAAAACGAUGGGACUCUUGCACCUACCGGCUACCCCCACACUUAUUCAAGAAAGUAGGAAAACUUUUAGGUAGAGGUAAGUAAAUGCAACGUGACAAAUUCUAACAUAAAGAUUUCUUGAAUCACCAUUGAAACUAAUCCCUUGAAAUAAAUUGAGUAAAUAAAACAACAGUUAGAGACAUUUAGUAUGCAUAGCUUGGUAUAAGAGUAAUCUAUUCUACUAUAAUGCUUUCGACUUUUCGCUUACCUGUUAAUUUUUUCGUCAUCUUUUCCAAAGAGUAGAGAAUGGAUAUGAAGGUGCAUAUCACAAUAGUAAGUGAUAUUGGCACGGCUCAAUCAAAUAACCGAGCUCUUGCUAUAUACAGAGCAACGGCUUUCUAAUUGAACCGCACCAAUAUCUCAUACCUUGCCUCGAGUAAAGAGACAAAAAAAAUAAAAAAAUAAUAAAUAAAUAAAUAGAUGAAUGGAAGAACCACCUCAGUGUAGAGUACACUGCUUCAUGAGAGCAGAAUGGAAUAUAUACAACUGUUGUGAAGAAGAUUGCAUAGUGCUUGAAGUAUGUAGUGCUGUAUCAGGAUUAUAAGCAAUUUA